CCCCCAUCCAUGUGUGUAGGACUCCAAAGGAUCACCAUUAAAUUUGGUAUGGAUCCCUAGAAAAGUCAUCAUAUGGGUGUGAGACUUGAUUUUUUUAGAGAUCCGUGCCAAAUUUAAUAGUGAUCUUUUUGGGGUCCUACACACAUGAGUGGGAG
rnacentral:pre_miRNA from 1 species